GCCGGAGUGGUGAAACUGGUAGACGCGCUAGACUCAAAAUCUAGUAAGGGCGACCUUGUGUCGGUUCGAAUCCGACCUUCGGCACCA
rnacentral:tRNA from 1 species